AUUGAACGCUGGCGGCAGGCUUAACACAUGCAAGUCGAGCGAGCGGCGGACGGGUGAGUAAUGUCUGGGAAACUGCCUGAUGGAGGGGGAUAACUACUGGAAACGGUAGCUAAUACCGCAUACAAUAAGAUGUGCACAGAUGGGAUUCGCUAGUAGGUGGGGUAAUGGCUCACCUAGUAGACGAUCCCUAGUUGGUCUGAGAGGAAGACCGGCCACACUGGAAGUGAGACACGGGCCAGACGCCUACGGGAGGCAGCAGUGGUGAAUAUUGGACAAUGGGCGAAAGCCUGAUGCAGCCAUGCCGCGUGUAUGAAGAAGGCCUUCGGGUUGUAAAGUACUGUCAGCGGGGAGGCGUUACCCGCAGAAGAAGCACCGGCUAACUCCGUGCCAGCAGCCGCGGUAAUAC
rnacentral:rRNA from 1 species